GUACUCACUUUGGCAGCACAUAUAUUAAAAUUGGAAUGAUACAGAGAAGAUUAGAAUGACCCCUGUGCAAGAAUGACAUGCAAAUUCAUGAUGCGUUCCAUAUUUAC
rnacentral:snRNA from 1 species